UACAGAGGGUGCAAACGUUGCUCGGAAUUACUGGGCGUAAAGCGCGUGUAGGCGGUUUUAUAAGUCCAACGUGAAAGCCCAGGGCUCAACCCUGGAAGUGCGUAGGAUACUGUGAAGCUGGAGUCCUGAAGAGGAGAGCGGAAUUCCCGGUGUAGAGGUGAAAUUCGUAGAUAUCGGGAGGAACACCUGUGGCGAAGGCGGCUCUCUGGGCAGGUACUGACGAUGAGACGCGAAAGCGUGGGGAGCAAACAGG
rnacentral:rRNA from 1 species